AUCUGCUGCGUGCAGCGUAUGCUAAUUACGUCGCCCGGCCGGCCCAAAGGCCAAAACACUCGAGUACCUCCUGCAGUCCCGUACCAGACACCUGGGCAGGCCUACACCUGGGGUGGGGCCCCUGGGAUUUGGGGGCCCAGGGCAGCCGCCUCCCUGCCCCCCCAAGGGCUGGCCCUGUUUAUCCGGCUCUCUUAUUAGAGGUGGAGGUAUGGCAUGCAGUGUGGGAUGGCUCGCUGAAGGUAGCAAAGGAGCAGUCUUGGUCUUCUUGUCCUUUAUGCUGCGCUCGGGAUUCAUCGUUGCCGUUGUCGAGGUAGUGAUGGUGAAGGAGUACCUGGUGUUGCUUUAGAGGUGGACCUGGAUUUGGCUGCGUUUUGCGCAGCUUCCUAGCGUGCAGGCCCUUUC
rnacentral:lncRNA from 1 species